UAUCCCAUUUAAAUUUGCUGUGAUGCUUAAUCAAUAGUUUACACAGUGAUACGCGUGGGAGAAAACAAAAGUAGCCCAUAGUCAAGGCAGCAGCUUCUAUCUGAGCUGUUUUAUGAGUACUGUGGGCUGGACAAUU
rnacentral:snoRNA from 1 species